rnacentral:lncRNA from 1 species
GAAGUAAAAAAGUAGAGAUCGCUUCAUACACACACACACACACAAAAUCCUCGGUCUUGAUCGCCAUAAUACAAGUGAUGGAAAGAGCAACAUUGACAAUUACAAUCAUAAUAGACAAACGACUGCAUUAACGGAGGAGCAAAAGAUGCUAACUGUGAAAGUGAUGGUGGACGCCGGUGAUGGCGAUCGCGGAAGCUACCUGUUAGAGACUGGGUUUGGGCCGCUGGGGACUUCGUGCUUGCUUGCUUCGAACUCAGAAGUCGAGUUGUGGCUAUUUGGACGUCGCUUCAUGGAUCGAGACGAGGAAGGUGACAGAAGUCGCCUACUGCUACUGCUGCUGCUGCUACUACUGGUGAACGAGACAUUAAUGUUGAUCUUGAGCUGAAUCUGUGGUUGAAGCAAGGAAAGGAGGAGGAGGAGGCAGAAGAGGCAGCAACAGAGGAAUGCAUUUGAUCUGAGACGGCUUUGAUCUCUUGCCAUGCAGGUUUCAGCGUCAAGACCCGAGCUACACCCCCCAGAUUGCCCAAAACAGAUCAAAAUCCAUGUGCCAGUUUAAGUAAUAAGAAGGGAGAGGGCUUCUGCAGAUGAGAAGAUCAAGAAAGAAAAAAAGGCACUUGGAGAAAAGAAUCCAGGCGUAGAUGAGGUGAAAAGGGCAAAGACUACUUGAAGUUGAAUGCAAAAUUAUAUGCUUACCCCUUUCAGGUCACUUUUGCGUGGAUUGGAUUGUUAAAGAGACACUGAAUGAGAUGGCAUGUGCUCCAAUGAGUAUGGCAGUGGCGGAGGGCUCGAGUCUAAAGAGCAAACUCUAAAGACCUCUCCUUUCACCACCAUGUAAUCGACUGAGAUCACAUUUGCCAUCAACCUAAAUGAUUCCAUGUGUAGAUUGGUGAAAGAUUUGUCUGGUUGCAUUGCAUAGUCAAGAAAUGCAGGAGAGAGUACAUAAAGG